rnacentral:tRNA from 1 species
GGGCCCAUAGCUCAGCCGGUUAGAGCAGCUGACUCAUAAUCAGCGGGUCGCAGGUUCGAAUCCUGCUGGGCCCA